rnacentral:rRNA from 1 species
GAUGAACGCUAGCGGCAGGCCUAACACAUGCAAGUCGAGGGGUAACUAGAGUGAUAGCAAUAUUACUUUGGCUAGACCGGCGCACGGGUGCGUAACACGUAUGCAACCUACCUUAUACUGGGGAAUAACUUCGAGAAAUCGGCGCUAAUACCCCAUAACACUGCGGAGAGGCAUCUCUUUGCAGUUAAGGCUCCGGCGGAAUAAGAUGGGCAUGCGUCCAAUUAGCAAGUUGGUGAGGUAACGGCUCACCAAGGCUACGAUUGGUAGGGGUUCUGAGAGGAUGAUCCCCCACACUGGUACUGAGACACGGACCAGACUCCUACGGGAGGCAGCAGUGAGGAAUAUUGCGCAAUGGACGAAAGUCUGAUCCAGCAAUGCCGCGUGCAGGAAGAAGGCCUUCGGGUUGUAAACUGCUUUUGUACGGAACGAAAAGGCUCUGGUUAAUACCUGGGGCUCAUGACGGUACCGUAAGAAUAAGCACCGGCUAACUACGUGCCAGCCGCCGCUGUAA